rnacentral:sRNA from 1 species
AAAAAAUACACAUGCAAACAUAUGAGGUCUUUGGUUUGUCUCAUAAAUGGUGAUAUUUAUGAAUAGACGUACACUGAUAGUACACUACAGCGUACACUGUUUGUUGGGCAAAUGUAGAAAUGUAAAUGUGGACGUACACUAAAACGUACACUACAGCGUACACUGUUUUUUGGGCAAAUGUAGAAAUGUAAAUGAGGACGUACACUAAAACGUACACGUCUAGUUUUAAGUUGUUAUUAAAAAGAGGUUUCUCAUAACAACAAUAACAAAUUAUAUAUGGAAUACUAUUACGUUGAUUUGACAAUACGAAUACACAUCAUCAUUUAAUACCUUUGCAAUAAAUACAACCAUAACUUACCCAACUAUAUCUUCAAUGAUGCUUAUUUAAGUGUUGGAAUUUCAUUUUGUUGAAACACCUUACUCCUAAAUAUGCCAAACCCAAAUAUUCCUGAUGAUUUGCUUGCGAAGAUAGCCAAGAAAAUGGCUGACAAAUGUUGGUGGUACCUCGGACCUAUGUUGAAAUUCGGUCCUCGUGGAAGAGACAUUGUCUACCGUCCAGAUGUCCUCAAAAAUGCAAACAUUUUCAGCAUGUGCGACGAUCCCGAUGACUUAUACGCGGCAGGCCACGAUCCAAAUGACAUCAACUCCGAAAGUCGCUAUAGACCCUUCUUCAAACGGUGCUUAGAAGUUGGUAACCCCACAGCUAUUUACCAUGAAGGACUGCGUCUCGUUACACAUGAGUCUGACAUUCAGGGAGCUAUCCUACACUUAGAGCGAAUUGCCCCAAGGAACGCCGCUGCAAUCCUUGCAUGCGCAAUUCUUUACAUAUGUGCUGGUAAUGCUCACAUGGGUUGUGUCUACUUUCGGCUCUUCGGAAGCAACCAUUAUGCUUUGGAAUCGGAGGAGGCACGUGAAAUUUGUGAGGAGGUGCUAGAAGAUAUAAAGAAAUAUGGUAAUACUUUAAAAUACACAUACGCUAACAGUUUUUCGUUCUCGGAAUGUGGUGACGUAAGCAGUCCUGAAUGCGCGGAGAUGUGUUACAUGAGAUCGAGACUCUUCAAUAAUCUUUGCA